GCCCGUUCUUCCGGCGCUGUUCUAGCCUCCCCGUCGCUGAUUCUGCCGUCUUGGUGGCCUGUUCUGCAGGUGAAAGUCACUUUGAGGAAGCCGCUGUUUCGUCAGCCUCAUUGCGGAUACCUGCACACAAUGUUCUGCUUGUUGCUGGCAACCCUCCGUGAGCUGUUCGACACACCUCAUAAUCAAAUUUCCAUCGCUGUGAGAAAGCUGUGAAUGCCAAAGGCUCUGAUCCCUAUGUCUGUCAGUGGUAUAAAAAAGUAUACUCAUCCUUGUGCCCUUCUUUUUGGAAUUAAAACAAAAAUGGACAAGCGUGACAUUCCAGAAAAACAGGAAAGAAAUGAAUAAUGUGGUGAAGAAGAUGGAAAUUCAACCAUAAAUAUAAACAGCAUUGCUCAAGAUAUGAUUGUGAGGAGCAAUAACAGAACACUCAUUCAAAAUGCACAGAGAAGUCACUAAAAACUAGUAGAAACAUUAUAAAAAAAUCUGGAUAUCUAAACACGAUUUCCCUCAACCCUUCCAUGUUCUAUAAUGC